rnacentral:tRNA from 3 species
GCGCUCGUGGCGGAAUUGGUAGACGCACUGGAUUUAGGUUCCAGCGCUUCACGGCGUGGGGGUUCAAGUCCCUCCGGGCGCACCA